rnacentral:lncRNA from 1 species
GCCUUACAGUUCUCCGUGGUAUGCCCAUGAUCCCGAUGGAACUCACAGUACUUGUUCAUGUCCCUGGAUUCGGAUGGUGACCUCAUUCUGACAGGCCAUUUCAGUUCCUUCAUAUCCUUGAUCUCCAUUAAUAUAUUGGUCUUUGACGUAUUUAAACGCGUGAACGGCGUCGGGGGAACCUCCUGUCUCUGUUUUUUCCGAUG